GCGAGUGAAGCGGCAACAGCUCAAAUUUGAAAUCUGGCCCCAGGGUCCGAGUUGUAAUUUGCAGAGGAUGCUUCGGGCGAGGUGCCUUCCGAGUUCCCUGGAACGGGACGCCACAGAGGGUGAGAGCCCCGUCUGGUCGGACACCGAGCCCGUGUGAAGCUCCUUCGAAGAGUCGAGUAGUUUGGGAAUGCUGCUCAAAACGGGAGGUAUAUGUCUUCUAAAGCUAAAUAUUGGCCAGAGACCGAUAGCGCACAAGUAGAGUGAUCGAAAGAUGAAAAGCACUUUGAAAAGAGGGUUAAAAAGUACGUGAAAUUGUUGAAAGGGAAGCGCCCAUGACCAGACUUGGGCCCGGUGAAUCACCCGGCGUUCUCGCCGGUGCACUUUGCCGGGCACAGGCCAGCAUCAGUUUGGCGCGGGGGAGAAAGGCUUCGGGAACGUGGCUCCCUCGGGAGUGUUAUAGCCCGCUGCGCAAUACCCUGCGCCGGACUGAGGUACGCGCAUCGCAAGGAUGCUGGCGUAAUGG
rnacentral:rRNA from 1 species